CAGGACGAACGCUGGCGGCGUGCUUCAUACAUGCAAGUCGAACGAGAAAUCAACUUCGGUUGGUGGAAAGUGGCGGACGGGUGAGUAAUGUGUAGAGAAUCUGCCCUAGAGUGGGGGACAACAGUUGGAAACGACUGCUAAUACCACAUAUGCGCGUACUUGAAAUAGUAUUCGUGAAAACUCCGGUGCUCUGGGAUGAGUCUGCAUCUGAUUAGCUAGUUGGGGGUGUAAUGGACCACCAAGGCGACGAUCAGUAGCUGGUUUGAGAGGAUGAUCAGCCACAAUGGGACUGAGACACGGCCCAUACUCCUACGGGAGGCAGCAGUAGGGAAUUUUGCGCAAUGGGGGAAACCCUGACGCCAGCAACGCCGCGUGAUUGAAUAAGCCCUUCGGGGUGUAAAGAUCUGUCAGUAGGGACGAAACUUGACGGUACCUACAGAGGAAGCAUCGGCUAACUCCGUGCCAGCCGCGGC
rnacentral:rRNA from 1 species